rnacentral:rRNA from 1 species
CGGAGGCGACCGAGUGGCGGACGGGUGAGUAACGCGUGGGUAACCUGCCUCACACUGGGGGAUAGCAGUUGGAAACGACUGAUAAUACCGCAUAAGCGCACAGUACCGCAUGGUACAGUGUGAAAAACUCCGGUGGUGUGAGAUGGACCCGCGUCUGAUUAGCUAGUUGGUGAGGUAACGGCCCACCAAGGCGACGAUCAGUAGCCGGCCUGAGAGGGUGUACGGCCACAUUGGGACUGAGACACGGCCCAAACUCCUACGGGAGGCAGCAGUGGGGAAUAUUGGACAAUGGGGGCAACCCUGAUCCAGCGAACCGCCGCGUGAGCGAAGAAGUAUUUCGGUAUGUAAAGCUCUAUCAGCAGGGAAGAUAAUGACGGUACCUGACUAAGAAGCACCGGCUAAAUACGUGCCAGCAGCCGC